ACACACACACACACACACACACACACACAUACACACACACACACACACACACACACACACACACACACACAGACACUCACACACACACACACACACACACACACACACACACACACACACACACACACACACACACACACACACACACACACACACACACACACACACACACAAACACACACACACACACACACACACACACACACACACAGACACACACACACACACACACACACACACACACACACACACACACACACACACACACACACACACACACACACACAGACACACACACACACACACACACACACACACACACACACACACACACACACACUCUCUCUCUCCACACACACACACACACUCUCUCUCACACACACACACACACACACACACACACACACACACACACACACACACACACACACACACACACACACACACACACACACACACACACACACACACACACACACAGGUUAUUUCCUUGGAAAUCAGAAUCCGAGCGCGCUGCCAGUAAUGGGUGUGUGUGAUUGGAAGCAGACGCUGCGCUCUCAUUGGUCCAUGUCGUCAGCAGGGUGACACAGCUGCAAACAGCUGGAGAGAACACGUUCAUUUAAAUCCACAAACAAACAGCUGCAGGAAGAACGUCUCCACCCAUCAGUACGUUCAACCAUCCAUCCAUUUCCAAUGCCAGGAACACACUCAAAACACUCCAUCGUUGGGACUACGGCUCCCAUAAUGCUCUGGGAGAUCAGGCCCCUUCAUAUCUUAAAGAGCUCAUAGUACCCUAUUACCCCUCUAGAACACUACGUUCUCUGAAUGCUGGGCUACUUGUGGUUCCUAUAGUCUCUAAAAGUAGAACAGGAGCCAGAGCCUUCAGUUACCAAGCUCCUCUCCUGUGGAACCAGCUUCCAGUUGUGGUUCUGUCCUAGGUUUCUGCCUUUUAACAGGCAGUGUUUCCUUGCCCUUGUCUCCAAGGUCUUGCUCAUGGUGGUACUGUUGGGUCUCUGUAAUUAAUGUUUUAAAGAGUUCGGUCUAGACCUGCUCUAUUUGAAAAGUGUCCUGAGAUAACUUCUGUUAUGAAUUGGAGCUAUACAAAUAAAAUUGAAUUGAAUUGAAUUGAAAAUUGUUGUUAAAUCGACCAGCAUCUUCUCACUUGAUUGAAGAUUGAAGCCUAAAAGAGUUACGGUGGACACAUCGGAGCUGUUAGCUGAUGGGACAAACUAAAACAUCUUAAUCAAAUUUAAGGUCCUUCUUAAAACAUUUCCUCCCUCCUGAAGUACCAGUGCAGGUCACUGAGCUGUGACCUCUGACCUUUAGGCUUGCUGUUUGUUGGCGGUCUGUUGGGUUUUCUGCUGAACUCAUCAUUUCUCCAAUGACUGUUGAGUGUUUUGAACUCAGUCAUCGUUUUUCUCAGUGACUCAUCACUCACAACACGAAGAGAACGAAACCUGAAACCAGAGCAGAUUCUGAACCAUAAAAUAUGAACCAGUUUCACCCAAAAUCACUGAUAAGUUUCUGUUUUUGUACAGUGUUAAUAAAGUUGUGUGUUUGUACAGUGAUAAUAAAGUUGUGUGUUUGUACAGUGUUAAUAAAGUUGUGUGUUUGUACAGUGUUAAUAAAGUUUUGUGUUUGUACAGUGUUAAUAAAGUUGUGUGUUUGUACAGUGAUAAUAAAGUUGUGUGUUUGUACAGUGUUAAUAAAGUUGUGUGUUUGUACAGUGUUAAUAAAGUUUUGUGUUUGUACAGUGAUAAUAAAGUUGUGUGUUUGUACAGUGUUAAUAAAGUUGUGUGUUUGUACAGUGUUAAUAAAGUUGUGUGUUUGUACAGUGAUAAUAAAGUUGUGUUUGUACAGUGUUAAUAAAGUUGUGUUUGUACAGUGAUAAUAAAGUUGUGUGUUUGUACAGUGAUAAUAAAGUUGUGUGUUUGUACAGUGUUAAUAAAGUUGUGUGUUUGUACAGUGUUAAUAAAGUUGUGUGUUUGUACAGUGUUAAUAAAGUUGUGUGUUUGUACAGUGUUAAUAAAGUUGUGUGUUUUUACAGUGUUAAUAAAGUUUUGUGUUUGUACAGUGUUAAUAAAGUUGUGUGUUUGUACAGUGUUAAUAAAGUUGUGUGUUUGUACAGUGUUAAUAAAGUUGUGUGUUUGUACAGUGUUAAUAAAGUUGUGUGUUUGUACAGUGUUAAUAAAGUUGUGUGUUUGUACAGUGAUAAUAAAGUUGUGUUUGUACAGUGUUAAUAAAGUUGUGUUUGUACAGUGAUAAUAAAGUUGUGUGUUUGUACAGUGAUAAUAAAGUUGUGUGUUUGUA